UUGAUAUCAUAGUUCUAUUAAUAUGAUAUAUUUGCUUUAUAUUUAUGUGAUGAUUUGUGCAGGACUUUUUUUGUUACGAUGACAACGAUUCAAUGGCGGUUGAAGAAGAUUCGACGGUGGUGUCAAGAUUAUUGUUUUCAUGAUAUUGUUUUUAUGAAUGAUCAAGAAGGUGAAACGUUGCAUUCAUGAUCCCGGCAGGCUGAGAUAGAGGGUUGCAGGUCACCAUUGCAGCAGGAACCGCCAUUUGCAGUCACACCACUGAUAUUGGUUUUACAAGAUGCUUUCUUACGGUUAAAAGAAAGUGGAACUGGUCCAAACUUGGAAGGUUUGUUAAUCUCUUUCGAAGAAUUCAAACUGAGAUCCGGUUUGUGGGCAUAUAUGACAAGUUCAUGAACGCCUUCUUAAAUGACGUUAAAAGGCUUAAAUUCGGCAAUGGUUUUAGUGAAGGUGUGGCCCAGGGACCAUUUAUCGAUGAAGCUGCUAUAUAGAAGGAUGUGCGUUGUGGCACCAGUUAGCGCCGGGUGAGCCACGUAGGCGGCCAGGUGGCUCACGAGCACAACAACGGGGUGCCACAAGCGGUCACAUGUGAGCGCUGGGGUGAGCAUGGUCGCCGGGUGAGCCACGUAGUCGGUCAGGUGGCUCGCGAGACACACCAGUUAGUGCCGGGUGAACCACGUAGGCGGCCAGGUGGCUCGCGAUGAUUCGUGAAGCUUUCUUAUCAUUUUUGAAGCUCUCCUAACGUUUUAACAAUAAAUGGCGAUUUGUGCGUAAACUUCAACAAAGCACCGACUUAGUGUUUGGGUUUGUAUCUCUGUUUGACUUGAUUGUUCCAAUAGCGCUAGAGGAAGGUGCAGACAAAUCAUACUCGAGAGGACUUUCUAUAGCAACUUGUUGCCACCAUCUCUGCCAAUGGAAGCAUUAUAUCAGGAAAAUGUUAAGAAUAUCUGUGGAGAUAGAAAUAUGUCUGUUGCAGAGAGCGCUGCGCUAGGGUUUAUGUGCAAAGAUAU
rnacentral:lncRNA from 1 species